AAAAAGAUAAGCUAAGUAAAGCUAUUAGGUUCAUACCCUGACUAUAGAGGAAUAACCCUCUUCUUUUUA
rnacentral:tRNA from 1 species